UACGUAGGGGGCUAGCGUUGUCCGGAAUCAUUGGGCGUAAAGAGCGUGUAGGCGGCCCGGUAAGUCCGCUGUGAAAGUCGGGGGCUCAACCCUCGGAUGCCGGUGGAUACUGUCGGGCUCGAGUACGGAAGAGGCGAGUGGAAUUCCUGGUGUAGCGGUGGAAUGCGUAGAGAUCCGGAAGAACACCAGUGGCGAAGGCGGCCCGCUGGGCGUGGCCGACGCUGGAGGCGCGACAGGCGUGGGGAGCAAACAGG
rnacentral:rRNA from 1 species